UACGUAGGGUGCAGGCGUUAAUCGGAAUUACUGGGCGUAAAGCGUGCGCAGGCGGUUUCUUAAGUCAGAUGUGAAAGCCCCGGGCUUAACCUGGGAACUGCGUUUGAAACUGGGAGACUUGAGUGUGGCAGAGGGGGGUGGAAUUCCGGCGUGUAGCAGUGGAAAUGCGUAGAGAUGCGGAGGAACACCGAUGGCGAAGGCAACCCCCUGGGCUGACACUGACGCUCAGGCACGAAAGCGUGGGGAGCAAACAGG
rnacentral:rRNA from 1 species